rnacentral:rRNA from 1 species
GACGAACGCUGGCGGCGUGCUUAAUACAUGCAAGUCGAACGGAAAGGUCCUGCUUUUGUUGGGUGCUCGAGUGGCGAACGGGUGAGUAAAACGUGAGUAACCUGCCCUUGACUUUGGGAUAACUUCUGGAAACUGGGGCUAAUACCGGAUAUGAGCUCCUGCUGCAUGUUGGGGGUUGGAAAGUUUCGGCGGUUGGGGAUGGACUCGCGGCUUAUCAGCUUGUUGGGGGGGUAGGGGCUUACCAAGCCUUUGACGGGUAGCCGGCCUGAGAGGGUAGCCGGGCUCAAUGGUACUGAGAGACGGCCCAGAAGCCUACGGGACGCAGCAGGCGAGAAUAUUGCGGAACGGGCGGAAGCCUGAUGCAGCAACGCUGCGAGCGGGAUGACGGGUUACGGGUUGUAAACAGAUUUCGACUGUGACGAAGCGGGAGUGACGGUAAUGGAUAAAGAAGCACCGGCUAACUACGUG